CCUACGGGGGGCAGCAGUGGGGAAUAUUGCACAAUGGGGGAAACCCUGAUGCAGCGACGCCGCGUGAGUGAAGAAGGAAGGAGGGAGGGAAAGAGAGAGCAGCAGGGAAGAAAAUGACGGUACCUGAGUAAGAAGCCCCGGCUAACUACGUGCCAGCAGCCGCGGUAAUACGUAGGGGGCAAGCGUUAUCCGGAUUUACUGGGUGUAAAGGGAGCGUAGACGGCAGUGCAAGUCUGGAGUGAAAGGCGGGGGCUCAACCCCCGGACUGCUCUGGAAACUGUACGGCUGGAGUGCAGGAGAGGUAAGUGGAAUUCCUAGUGUAGCGGUGAAAUGCGUAGAUAUUAGGAGGAACACCAGUGGCGAAGGCGGCUUACUGGACUGUAACUGACGUUGAGGCUCGAAAGCGUGGGGAGCAAACAGGAUUAGAUACCCCUGUAGUC
rnacentral:rRNA from 1 species